AUUGAACGCUGGCGGAAUGCCUAACACAUGCAAGUCGAGCGGGGUGUAGCAAUACACCUAGCGGCGGACGGGUGAGCAAUACAUAGGAAUCUGCCUCAGAGUGGGGGAUAGCCCGGGGAAACCCGGAUUAAUACCGCAUGAUGUCGCAAGACCAAAGUGGGGGACCGUAAGGCCUCACGCUCUGAGAUGAGCCUAUGUCUGAUUAGCUAGUUGGCGGGGUAAUGGCCCACCAAGGCGACGAUCAGUAGCUGGUUUGAGAGAACGAUCAGCCACACCG
rnacentral:rRNA from 1 species